GUAGGGAGGUGUGAAAGACUGACGAUAGAGACUGAGGUAGGGAGGUGUGAGAGAUGGAGGAUAGGGACUGAGGUAGUGAGGUGUGAGAGACUGACGAUAGAGACUGAGGUAGGGAGGUGUGAGAGACUGACGAUAGAGACUGAGGUAGGG